AUGGAUCCAUCCUCCUCCGCGCACCGGCGGGGGCGGUCGUCGUCGGCUCCGCCAAGCGCCUCCUCGACUGGGCAAUGUGAGAGGCGGAGCAGCCAGCGGGCGGGACAGCCCCCACGGACCACGCCGAGCCAAGCACCGCAGCCGACAUGUACAUCGACUCCGGCAGAGACCAUGCGGGCGGGGAUCCGGGUGCCAAAAGGAGGCGCGGCGGCGGCAGCGGCGAUGAUGCGCACGUCGUGGUCCAGAGGCCGGAGAAGCGCCGGAUCCUCGCGUGGAGGGUGCGCCAGUACCGGUCCCUGGUGGCCGAGGCCAAGGCGGCGGCAAGGAGGGCAAGAAUCCGGGCGGUGA
rnacentral:rRNA from 1 species